rnacentral:lncRNA from 1 species
GGAGCACAACGUCGAAAGCAGCCGUUGGGAGCCCAGGAGGCGGGGCGCCUGUGGGAGCCGUGGAGGGAACUUUCCCAGUCCCCGAGGCGGAUCCGGUGUUGCAUCCUUGGAGCGAGCUGAGAGCUCGAGAGACGGGGAUUUAGCUAUGUUGCCCAAGCUGGUCUGGAACUCCGGAGCUCAAGCAGUCCGCCCGCCUUGGCCCCCCAAAGCGCUGGAAUUACAGGCGUAAUGCACUGUGCCUGGCCUUUAAAAAAAAAUUGAGGUUAUUUUGGGGACAGUAGAGCGUCCAGACACAUCCUAAUUUGCAUAGCUGCGCAGUUUUAAAAAAUGCAAUGCAUUUUUACCUGUUAGGUACAGAACCUGCUAAGGCCAUCAAACCUAUUGAUCGGAAGUCAGUCCAUCAGAUUUGCUCUGGGCCGGUGGUACCGAGUCUAAGCACUGCGGUGAAGGAGUUAGUAGAAAACAGUCUGGAUGCUGGUGCCACUAAUAUUGAUCUAAAGCUUAAGGACUAUGGAGUGGAUCUCAUUGAAGUUUCAGGCAAUGGAUGUGGGGUAGAAGAAGAAAACUUCGAAGGCUUAACUCUGAAACAUCACACAUCUAAGAUUCAAGAGUUUGCCGACCUACCUCAGGUUGAAACUUUUGGCUUUCGGGGGGAAGCUCUGAGCUCACUUUGUGCACUGAGUGAUGUCACCAUUUCUACCUGCCAUGUAUCGGCGAAGGUUGGGACUCGACUGGUGUUUGAUCACUAUGGGAAAAUCAUCCAGAAAACCCCCUACCCCCACCCCAGAGGGAUGACAGUCAGUGUGAAGCAGUUAUUUUCUACGCUACCUGUGCACCAUAAAGAAUUUCAAAGGAAUAUUAAGAAGGACUCCUAGAAGUACCCCACCCCACCCCUGCUCCUUGGAGGACAACGUGAUCACUGUAUUCAGCUCUGUCAAGAAUGGUCCAGGUUCUUCUAGAUGAUCUGCACAAAUGGCUCCUCUCCUCCUUCCUGAUGUCUGCCAUUAGCACUGGAAUAAAGUUCCUGCUGAAAAUCCA